UUUCUUUUUCUUAAAAACUCAGCCCACACACACGGAAUUGGGCCUUUAAAAAAAAAGGGGAUGCCCGGCCCGUGGAGAAGUUGGCCUUGCGAAAACCUAGAGCGCCGGGUCACACGCCCGACCCGACGACCCGCUCCCCCCUGCGAAACCCUACCCGACCCGGACCCGAAUUGCGACCCGACUCCCGCCGCCCCCGAAUCUCGCGAAACCCUACCCGGUUCCGAGACCCGAAUCCGACUCGGCGACCCGGAAAAUCGCAAACCCUAGGGUUUGCGAAUCCGUGGCGCCAAGGGAGGGGACCGAGGUGCUUGGCGGCGACGGCGACUACGGCGGUGACGACGAAGAUGACAACGGCGACGGCAACGCUAACGGCGGCGCUCUUUUUUUGGUACCUUCUCUCGAACGGGGACGGCGACAGCAACAAUGCCAGAUCGAAGGCAGCAGCGGCGGAGGCGCUCAACGGCACGGCGGGGUUUUGCACAGCAGCAGCGGCGGAGGCGCUCGACGGCACAGCGGGGUUUUGCACAGCAGCGGCGUCGGGGGGUGUGACGGGGACGGCACGGCUCAAUGAUGGCGACGGAACCUUGUUCUUCGAAGUUCACUCGGAUUUGGACGACGUCGAGGAAAGCGGCGGCGGCGAGGCGUGAGAACGGCGGCACGGCAAGAUCUGGGGCAGUAGCGACGUCGGGGCGGGGAACAGCAACGACAAAGCAGCGGUCGCAGGUGGCGGAGAGCUUCCGGUUUCCCAAAUCUGGCCCUCCCUCCUCCGGCUGACCUCGUUCAGCCCUUAUUUCACAGAUCCAGAUGCUCGGAUCUAUCUUCCUCGGGCUCGAUCUUCUCUCACUCGGGCCAGAUCCGAGCCUCCACCGGCCGGAUCUGACCUUCUCGAAGUCGCUUGCGGCCAGCCUUCCCCGAAGUCUCUCGGUGGAAGGUGGGCUGAGCUCGCGACUCGAGUUCUCUCCCGCGCUCGCCCUUCAAUCCUUCCCGAUGUCUCUCAGUGAAGGAUCUCCGAG
rnacentral:lncRNA from 1 species